rnacentral:rRNA from 1 species
AUUGAACGCUGGCGGCAGGCCUAACACAUGCAAGUCGAACGAGUGGCGGACGGGUGAGUAAUGUCUGGGAAACUGCCUGAUGGAGGGGGAUAACUACUGGAAACGGUAGCUAAUACCUCAUACCAUCAACUGUGCCCAGAUGGGAUUAGUUAGUUGGUGGGGUAACGGCUCACCAAGGCGACGAUCCCUAGCUUGUCUGAGAGGAUGACCAGCCACACUGGAGCUGAGAUACGGUGCCGAAUCCGACGGGAGGCAGCAUUGGGGAAUCUGGCAGAAUGGGCGGAAGCCUGAUUGAGCCAUGCGGCGUGUAUGAAGAAGGCCUUCGGGUUGUAAAGUACUUUCAGCGGCGAGGCGUUACCCGCCGAAGAAGCACCGGCUAACUCCGUGCCAGCAGCCGCGGUAAUUC